rnacentral:rRNA from 1 species
AUAGCGUAUAGUACUGUGAAGGAAAGGUGAAAAGAACCCCGGGAGGGGAGUGAAAAGAACCUGAAACCUUGUGCUUACAAGCACACAAAGCACGUCAACGUGUGAUGUGGUACCUUUUGUAGAAUGGUCCGGCGAGUGAAUGUAACUGGCGAGGUUAAGUUCUUAAGGAACGGAGCCGAAGCGAAAGCAAGUCUGAAUAGGGCGUCUUAGUCAGUUGUAUUCGACCCGAAACCGGGUGACCUAUCCAUGUCCAGGAUGAAGUUAAGGUAAAACUUGAUGGAGGUCCGAACCCACGGUCGUUGAAAUGCCCGGGGAUGAGAUGUGGAUAGCGGAGAAAUUCCAAUCGAACCCGGAUAUAGCUGGUUCUCUCCGAAAUAGCUUUAGGGCUAGCCUCGACUGAACAUUACCGGAGGUAGAGCACUGAAUGGGCUAGGGGCCGAGAGGUUACUGAACCCUAUCAAACUUCAAAUGCCGGAAAAUGAUAGUCGGGAGUCAGACUGCGUGAGAUAAGUUUCGUAGUCGAAAGGGAAACAGCCCAGACCCACAGCUAAGGUCCCAAAGUACGGUUAAGUGGAAAAGGAUGUGGAGUUGCACAGACAACCAGGAUGUUGGCUUAGAAGCAGCCACUCAUUAAAAGAGUGCGUAAUAGCUCACUGGUCGAGUGACUCUGCGCCGAAAAUUUAACGGGGCUAAAUCGUACACCGAAGCUUGGGAAUAUCAGUUAUUCUUCAUGGACUUGCUAAGGUAAGACACCAUGGCACGAAGUGCCAUCAAAUUGUCCAUAAGGAUAAAGCGAGCUUGUGAAGAAUAACUGAUAUUGGUAGGAGAGCGUUGAAUGCGGGGUGAAGUCAGAGCGAAAGCGCUGGUGGACUGCAUUGAAGUGAGAAUGCCGGAAUGAGUAGCGAGAUUUAUGUGAGAAUCAUAAAGGCCGAAAGACUAAGGUUUCAGAAGGAAGGUUCGUCCGCUUCUGGUUAGCCGGGAGCUAAGGUGAGGCCGAAAGGCGUAGCCGAUGCACAUACGGUGGAGAUUCCGUAGCCGUCGAAAUAUUUAAGCAAAGGGACACUUAUGAAGGACAUGACCCGGGCGAUGGUAGCCCCGGGCGUAAGGGACUGAAAACAAGUAGGGAAGCAUGUUUGGAUUAAGGCGAGAAAAGCUUUGUGUAUAUAUGAGACGUCCGUACCGCAAACCGACACAGGUAGUCAGGAAGAGGAUUCUAAGGCCAACGGGAGAAGGGUAGUUAAGGAACUCGGCAAAUUGACCCCGUAACUUCGGGAUAAGGGGCGGUGCGUAAGCACCCGCAGUGAAUAGGUCCAGGCGACUGUUUAUCAAAAACACAGCUCUCUGCUAAAUCGAAAGAUGACGUAUAGGGGGUGACACCUGCCCGGUGCUGGAAGGUUAAGAGGAGGAGUGCAAGCUCCGAAUUGAAGCCCCAGUAAACGGCGGCCGUAACUAUAACGGUCCUAAGGUAGCGAAAUUCCUUGUCGGGUAAGUUCCGACCCGCACGAAUGGUGUAACGAUCUGGACGCUGUCUCAACUGCCCACCCGGCGAAAUUGUAGUACCGGUGAAGAUGCCGGUUACCCGCGGCAAGACGGAAAGACCCCAUGGAGCUUUACUGUAACUUGAUAUUGGGUCUUGGUAUUCUAUGUACAGGAUAGGCGGGAGACUAUGAAACAUACACGCCAGUGUAUGCGGAGUCACCCUUGGGAUACCGCUCUUAGAGUACUGAGAUUCUAACCUGCGGCCGUGAAUCCGGUCGGGGGACAUUGUCAGGUGGGCAGUUUGACUGGGGCGGUCGCCUCCUAAAAGGUAACGGAGGCGCUCAAAGGUUCGUUCAGCACGGACGGAAAUCGUGCAGUGAGUGUAAACGCAGAAACGAGCCUAACUGCGACACCGACGGGUGGAGCAGUAACGAAAGUUGGAGUUAGUGAUCCGGCGGUAUGUGCGUGGAAAUGCCGUCGCUCAACGGAUAAAAGCUACCCUGGGGAUAACAGGCUGAUCUCCCCCAA